CGGGACACGUGGUAUCCUGUCUGAAUAUGGGGGGACCAUCCUCCAAGGCUAAAUACUCCUGACUGACCGAUAGUGAACCAGUACCGUGAGGGAAAGGCGAAAAGAACCCCGGCGAGGGGAGUGAAAAAGAACCUGAAACCGUGUACGUACAAGCAGUGGGAGCACGCUUCGGCGUGUGACUGCGUACCUUUUGUAUAAUGGGUCAGCGACUUAUAUUCUGUAGCAAGGUUAACCGAAUAGGGGAGCCGAAGGGAAACCGAGUCUUAACUGGGCGUUAAGUUGCAGGGUAUAGACCCGAAACCCGGUGAUCUAGCCAUGGGCAGGUUGAAGGUUGGGUAACACUAACUGGAGGACCGAACCGACUAAUGUUGAAAAAUUAGCGGAUGACUUGUGGCUGGGGGUGAAAGGCCAAUCAAACCGGGAGAUAGCUGGUUCUCCCCGAAAGCUAUUUAGGUAGCGCCUCGUGAAUUCAUCUCCGGGGGUAGAGCACUGUUUCGGCAAGGGGGUCAUCCCGACUUACCAACCCGAUGCAAACUGCGAAUACCGGAGAAUGUUAUCACGGGAGACACACGGCGGGUGCUAACGUCCGUCGUGAAGAGGGAAACAACCCAGACCGCCAGCUAAGGUCCCAAAGUCAUGGUUAAGUGGGAAACGAUGUGGGAAGGCCCAGACAGCCAGGAUGUUGGCUUAGAAGCAGCCAUCAUUUAAAGAAAGCGUAAUAGCUCACUGGUCGAGUCGGCCUGCGCGGAAGAUGUAACGGGGCUAAACCAUGCACCGAAGCUGCGGCAGCGACACUAUGUGUUGUUGGGUAGGGGAGCGUUCUGUAAGCCUGUGAAGGUGUACUGUGAGGUAUGCUGGAGGUAUCAGAAGUGCGAAUGCUGACAUAAGUAACGAUAAAGCGGGUGAAAAGCCCGCUCGCCGGAAGACCAAGGGUUCCUGUCCAACGUUAAUCGGGGCAGGGUGAGUCGACCCCUAAGGCGAGGCCGAAAGGCGUAGUCGAUGGGAAACAGGUUAAUAUUCCUGUACUUGGUGUUACUGCGAAGGGGGGACGGAGAAGGCUAUGUUGGCCGGGCGACGGUUGUCCCGGUUUAAGCGUGUAGGCUGGUUUUCCAGGCAAAUCCGGAAAAUCAAGGCUGAGGCGUGAUGACGAGGCACUACGGUGCUGAAGCAACAAAUGCCCUGCUUCCAGGAAAAGCCUCUAAGCAUCAGGUAACAUCAAAUCGUACCCCAAACCGACACAGGUGGUCAGGUAGAGAAUACCAAGGCGCUUGAGAGAACUCGGGUGAAGGAACUAGGCAAAAUGGUGCCGUAACUUCGGGAGAAGGCACGCUGAUAUGUAGGUGAAGCGACUUGCUCGUGGAGCUGAAAUCAGUCGAAGAUACCAGCUGGCUGCAACUGUUUAUUAAAAACACAGCACUGUGCAAACACGAAAGUGGACGUAUACGGUGUGACGCCUGCCCGGUGCCGGAAGGUUAAUUGAUGGGGUUAGCGGUAACGCGAAGCUCUUGAUCGAAGCCCCGGUAAACGGCGGCCGUAACUAUAACGGUCCUAAGGUAGCGAAAUUCCUUGUCGGGUAAGUUCCGACCUGCACGAAUGGCGUAAUGAUGGCCAGGCUGUCUCCACCCGAGACUCAGUGAAAUUGAACUCGCUGUGAAGAUGCAGUGUACCCGCGGCAAGACGGAAAGACCCCGUGAACCUUUACUAUAGCUUGACACUGAACAUUGAGCCUUGAUGUGUAGGAUAGGUGGGAGGCUUUGAAGUGUGGACGCCAGUCUGCAUGGAGCCGACCUUGAAAUACCACCCUUUAAUGUUUGAUGUUCUAACGUUGGCCCGUUAUCCGGGUUGCGGACAGUGUCUGGUGGGUAGUUUGACUGGGGCGGUCUCCUCCUAAAGAGUAACGGAGGAGCACGAAGGUUGGCUAAUCCUGGUCGGACAUCAGGAGGUUAGUGCAAUGGCAUAAGCCAGCUUGACUGCGAGCGUGACGGCGCGAGCAGGUGCGAAAGCAGGUCAUAGUGAUCCGGUGGUUCUGAAUGGAAGGGCCAUCGCUCAACGGAUAAAAGGUACUCCGGGGAUAACAGGCUGAUACCGCCCAAGAGUUCAUAUCGACGGCGGUGUUUGGCACCUCGAUGUCGGCUCAUCACAUCCUGGGGCUGAAGUAGGUCCCAAGGGUAUGGCUGUUCGCCAUUUAAAGUGGUACGCGAGCUGGGUUUAGAACGUCGUGAGACAGUUCGGUCCCUAUCUGCCGUGGGCGCUGGAGAACUGAGGGGGGCUGCUCCUAGUACGAGAGGACCGG
rnacentral:rRNA from 1 species